CUACGGCCACAUCACGUUAAAACAUGGGUUCUCGUACGAUCACCGAAGUUAAGCAACGACGAGUCUGAUCAGUAACUAGAUGGGUGAACGCUUGAAAAUACCAGGUGCUGUAUG